GAUGAACGCUGGCGGCGUGCUUAACACAUGCAAGUCGAACGGAAAGGCUCCUGCUUGCAGGGGUACUCGAGUGGCGAACGGGUGAGUAACACGUGGGUGAUCUGCCCUGCACUUCGGGAUAAGCCUGGGAAACUGGGUCUAAUACCGGAUAGGACGAUGGUUUGGAUGCCAUUGUGGAAAGUUUUUCGGUGUGGGAUGAGCUCGCGGCCUAUCAGCUUGUUGGUGGGGUAAUGGCCUACCAAGGCGUCGACGGUAGCCGGCCUGAGAGGGUGUACGGCCACAUUGGGACUGAGAUACGGCCCAGACUCCUACGGGAGGCAGCAGUGGGGAAUAUUGCACAAUGGGCGCAAGCCUGAUGCAGCGACGCCGCGUGGGGGAUGACGGCCUUCGGGUUGUAAACUCCUUUCGCUAGGGACGAAGCGCAAGUGACGGUACCUGGAGAAGAAGCACCGGCUAACUACGUG
rnacentral:rRNA from 1 species